rnacentral:rRNA from 1 species
UGGGGAAAACCGCUGGAAACGGCGGCUAAUACCGAAUGUAGCGCCCGCUCGCAUGAGCGGAGCGCCAAAGGGGGCGAAAGCUCCCCCUCUUCGAGGGGCCCGCGCACCAUCAGCUUGUUGGCGGGGUAACGGCCCACCAAGGCUCACGGUUAGCUGGUCUGAGAGGAUGGCCAGCCGCACUGGGACUGAGAUACUGCCCAGACUCCUACGGGAGGCUGCAGUCGAGGAUCAUUUGCAAUGGGCGAAAGCCUGACAAUGCGACGCUGCGUGGAGGAUGAAGGCCCUCGGGUUGUAAACUCCUGUCAUGGGGGAAAAGGAAACCCUGCCCAAUACGCAGGGAAUUUGAUGGUACCCCAAGAGGAAGCGACGGCUAACUCUGUGCCAGCCGCUGC